UGUCAUGAUGCCAUCUUUUGUUUUCUUUUUCUUUGACUUCACCGAGUGUGUGGGCGAGCUUCUAUUUGUUUGUCGUGAAUCUAGGAAUCAGCCAGGGAGAAAAGAAAGGAAAAGGGCCGCAAAACACAUGUUCAGAGAUAAUUAAGGAAGUGUAUAUUUUUCAAUCGACAUGGAAAUAGUUUUUUUAUGAACCAAUUAAAAUUAGUCGCUGCUCUGGUUUUUAUGAACCACACCGAGG
rnacentral:lncRNA from 1 species